UGAUCCUGGCUCAGGAUGAACGCUGGCGGCGUGCCUAAUACAUGCAAGUCGAGCGAACAGAUAAGGAGCUUGCUCCUUUGACGUUAGCGGCGGACGGGUGAGUAACACGUGGGUAACCUACCUAUAAGACUGGGAUAACUUCGGGAAACCGGAGAUAAUACCGGAUAACAUUUGGAACCGCAUGGUUCUAAAGUGAAAGAUGGUUUUGCUAUCACUUAUAGAUGGACCCGCGCCGUAUUAGAUAGUUGGUAAGGUAACGGCUUACCAAGGCGACGAUACGUAGCCGACCUGAGAGGGUGAUCGGCCACACUGGAAAUGAGACACGGUCCAGACUCCUACGGGAGGCAGCAGUAGGGAAUCUUCCGCAAUGGGCGAAAGCCUGACGGAGCAACGCCGCGUGAGUGAUGAAGGGUUUCGGCUCGUAAAACUCUGUUAUUAGGGAAGAACAAACGUGUAAGUA
rnacentral:rRNA from 1 species